ACGAGCGGACGAUGGGAGCUUGCUCCCUGAUGUUAGCGGCGGACGGGUGAGUAACACGUGGGUAACCUGCCUGUAAGACUGGGAUAACUCCGGGAAACCGGGGCUAAUACCGGAUGCUUGUUUGAACCGCAUGGUUCAAACAUAAAAGGUGGCUUCGGCUACCACUUACAGAUGGACCCGCGGCGCAUUAGCUAGUUGGUGAGGUAAUGGCUCACCAAGGCAACGAUGCGUAGCCGACCUGAGAGGGUGAUCGGCCACACUGGGACUGAGACACGGCCCAGACUCCUACGGGAGGCAGCAGUAGGGAAUCUUCCGCAAUGGACGAAAGUCUGACGGAGCAACGCCGCGUGAGUGAUGAAGGUUUUCGGAUCGUAAAGCUCUGUUGUUAGGGAAGAACAAGUACCGUUCGAAUAGGGCGGUACCUUGACGGUACCUAACCAGAAAGCCACGGCUAACUACGUGCCAGCAGCCGCGGUAAUACGUAGGUGGCAAGCGUUGUCCGGAAUUAUUGGGCGUAAAGGGCUCGCACGCGGUUUCUUAAGUCUGAUGUGAAAGCCCCCGGCUCAACCGGGGAGGGGUCAUUGGAAACUGGGGAACUUGAGUGCAGAAGAGGAGAGUGGAAUUCCACGUGUAGCGGUGAAAUGCGUAGAGAUGUGGAGGAACACCAGUGGCGAACGCGACUCUCUGGUCUGUAACUGACGCUGAGGAGCGAAAGCGUGGGGGAGCCGAACAGGAUUAAAUACCCUGGCUAGUCCACCCCGUAGACCGAUGAGUGCUAAUGUUAAGGGGAUUCCGCCCCUUAGUGCUGCAGCCUUACGCCAUUUAAGCACUCCGCCUAG
rnacentral:rRNA from 1 species